GAUGAAGAACGCAGCGAAAUGCGAUACGUAAUGUGAAUUGCAGAAUUCAGUGAAUCAUCGAAUCUUUGAACGCAUAUUGCGCUCUUUGGUAUUCCGAAGAGCAUGCUUGUUUGAGUAUCAGUAAACACCUCAACCUCUUCUUGAUUUUUCAAAAGGAGGGUGGACUUGAGCUAUCCCAACAACCUUUACCGGUCGGCGGGCGGCUUGAAAUGCAGGUGCAGCUGGACUUUUAUCUGAGCUAAAAGCAUAUCUAUUUAGUCAUAGUCAAACAGGAUUAUUACUUUUGCUGCAGCUAACAUAAAGGAUAAUUGUCCUCUUUGCUGACUGAUGCAGGAUUUUACGACACUUUAUGUGUUGUUCAACUCGAUCUCAAAUCAAGUAAGACUACCCGCUGAACUUAAGCAUAUCAAUAAGCGGAGGA
rnacentral:misc_RNA from 1 species